rnacentral:misc_RNA from 1 species
AACGGUCUAUACCUGCGGUACCUGCGGAAGGAUCAUCAAAGAAUUAUACGUAUACCAACAAGUGUGUUGGGGGGGUUGGGGGAUAUCUUAUCUUAUCUUCCUUUCCUGACACACUUCAAACAAACGAUCGCGACUAAAGUUUCAUUGGCUUGGCUUGGCUUGGCUUGGCGAGGGGAAAGAAUAAUAUAUAAAAGUGCUUGCCUGAUAAAACAUUGGAUUGGAAUAAGAGAAAUAUUAUAC